GAGUAACGCGUAUCCAACCUGCCCACCACUUGGGGAUAACCUUGCGAAAGUAAGACUAAUACCCAAUGAUAUCUCUAGAAGACAUCUGAAAGAGAUUAAAGAUUUAUCGGUGAUGGAUGGGGAUGCGUCUGAUUAGCUUGUUGGCGGGGUAACGGCCCACCAAGGCAACGAUCAGUAGGGGUUCUGAGAGGAAGGUCCCCCACAUUGGAACUGAGACACGGUCCAAACUCCUACGGGAGGCAGCAGUGAGGAAUAUUGGUCAAUGGACGAGAGUCUGAACCAGCCAAGUAGCGUGCAGGAAGACGGCCCUAUGGGUUGUAAACUGCUUUUAUAAGGGAAUAAAGUUAGUCUCGUGAGACUUUUUGCAUGUACCUUAUGAAUAAGGACCGGCUAAUUCCGUGCCAGCAGCCGCGGUAAUACGGAAGGUCCGGGCGUUAUCCGGAUUUAUUGGGUUUAAAGGGAGCGUAGGCCGGAGAUUAAGCGUGUUGUGAAAUGUAGACGCUCAACGUCUGCACUGCAGCGCGAACUGGUUUCCUUGAGUACGCACAAAGUGGGCGGAAUUCGUGGUGUAGCGGUGAAAUGCUUAGAUAUCACGAAGAACUCCGAUUGCGAAGGCAGCUCACUGGAGCGCAACUGACGCUGAAGCUCGAAAGCGCGGGUAUCGAACAGGAUUAGAUACCCUGGUAGUCCGCACGGUAAACGAUGGAUGCCCGCUGUUGGUCUGAAUAGGUCAGCGGCCAAG
rnacentral:rRNA from 1 species